rnacentral:rRNA from 1 species
UACGGAGGGGACUAGCGUUGUUCGGAAUUACUGGGCGUAAAGCGCGCGUAGGCGGAUUACUCAGUCAGGGGUGAAAUCCCGGGGCUCAACCCCGGAACUGCCCUUGAUACUGGUAGUCUGGAGUUCUGGAGAGGUGAGUGGAAUUCCGAGUGUAGAGGUGAAAUUCGUAGAUAUUCGGAGGAACACCAGUGGCGAAGGCGGCUCACUGGCCAGAUACUGACGCUGAGGUGCGAAAGUGUGGGGAGCAAACAGG